rnacentral:lncRNA from 1 species
GCUGAAAGUAGCAAUUCCACUAGCUCUUUCUCAAAGAGCAUCUCAAGGCACUCUGCUCCCUGAGCAUACUUUGAGGAUUGCUGACCAAAAUGAAGGCCAAGUGGGAUUCCCCUGACCUUUGACCCAAC